UACGUAGGCAGCGAGCGUUGUUCGGAGUUCCUGGGCGUAAAGGGUGUGUAGGCGGUUCUCUAAGUUUGGUGUGAAAUCUCCCGGCUCAACCGGGAGGGUGCGCCGAAAACUGGAGGGCUAGAGUGCGGGAAGGGAGAGUAGAAUUCCUGGUGUAGCGGUGAAAUGCGUAGAUAUCAGGAGGAAUACCGGUGGUGUAGACGGCUCUCUGGACCGCGACUGACGCUGAGACACGAAAGCGUGGGUAGCAAACAGG
rnacentral:rRNA from 1 species